rnacentral:rRNA from 1 species
AUUGAACGCUGGCGGCAUGCUUUACACAUGCAAGUCGAACGGUAACAGGCCGCAAGGUGCUGACGAGUGGCGAACGGGUGAGUAAUGUAUCGGAACGUGCCCAGUCGUGGGGGAUAACGCAGCGAAAGCUGUGCUAAUACCGCAUACGAUCUAUGGAUGAAAGCGGGGGACCGUAAGGCCUCGCGCGAUUGGAGCGGCCGAUAUCAGAUUAGGUAGUUGGUGGGGUAAAGGCUCACCAAGCCGACGAUCUGUAGCUGGUUUGAGAGGACGACCAGCCACACUGGGACUGAGACACGGCCCAGACUCCUACGGGAGGCAGCAGUGGGGAAUUUUGGACAAUGGGCGCAAGCCUGAUCCAGCAAUGCCGCGUGCAGGACGAAGGCCUUCGGGUUGUAAACUGCUUUUGUACGGAGCGAAACGGCUCUCUCUAAUAAAGGGAGCUAAUGACGGUACCGUAAGAAUAAGCACCGGCUAACUACGUGCCAGCCGCCGCGGUAACAC